rnacentral:tRNA from 1 species
UGCAGAUUAGCUCAAUGGUAGAGCACUUGCCUGGCACACAUGAGGCCCUGGGUUCCAUCCUCAGUACAACAA